AAUGCGCUUUUCCGACGGCGACGCGUACAUAAACGGCUGUGGAAGCUGCCGGAGAUGCCACUCCCCGCGCCGUUCCGGGUUUUCUCCCCACCUUCCGCCGCCGCCACCGCCGCCGCCGGUCCCGCCGGAGCGCAGCGUGCGCUGAUCUACGGACGCCGCGCGCCGCUCGCGGGAGCGCUCCUGUUCUUCAGCAUCGGCGCUGUCAGCGCCGCCGUCGCUUGCAGGACGGGGUGCUCCUUCUCCCACCGCCGCUUCCCCUUCCUCGGGGCAAGAGGUCUCAGCUCUGCUCGAAUGGAGUCCGCUUCCACCACCGUGCCAUCCAUUGUUGUGUAUGUUACCGUUCCAAACAGGGAAGCAGGCAAGAAGCUGUCACAGAGCAUCAUCAGCAAGAAGCUUGCUGCUUGUGUCAAUAUAGUACCUGGCAUUGAAUCUGUUUACUGGUGGGAGGGAAAGGUGCAAUCUGAUGCUGAAGAAUUGCUGAUCAUAAAGACCAGGGAAUCACUUCUAGAUGCCUUGACUGAGCACGUCAAAGCCAACCAUGAAUAUGAUGUUCCUGAAGUUAUUGCUCUGCCCAUAACUGGUGGUAACAGCAAGUAUCUGGAGUGGAUCAAGAACAGCACUAGGGAAGACUGAUCAUCCAGUGGGCUUGCACAAUGGAGUUUCCUCCGUUGACCUGUAUAUCUCAGUUACAUUCCGGUGCCAAAUCAACGUUUACCAUCCUGUCGUGACAAAUGAUCUGGUGUCUUGUGUGGGUAUGCAAAUUCAUGCAUCGCUCUGUUGACAGAUUGACCCGUUCUACCAUGUAGCUAAGCCUGGGCUGUAAAAUUUGUUCAGAGGAGAGGAUGGGAGAAUUUUACUGCAAGAGCCACCUGGGAAUGUCCUUGGAGGCGCUGAGACAGCAGCCUAACGGCUAGCCUCCUACCGCAACUGCACGUCUGGCAGGAUGAGCACACUGGGGAGGACGGCCGUGAGCCCGUGACGACGCCUGCCAUGCCGUGCCGCAGGUAAUCGACCGCCGGUUUCACUGAUUCCACGUGAAAAUCACACGGAAUGCACGCGCCAGGCUCUGUAAACCGGCGAGCCAGGUGUUGACGUGUUAGAGCCUCUACUGGGUUACUGAGAUGAACGACCAACCAGAAGAAGACACUGCACGUCCAGAUACGGCCGAGUGACAGCUUGUGUAUCGCAAUCCUCUCGCGUAGAACGUACGAGUGCAAUUCCGUCCAUUCCAAGAUGCU